AGGUACAUCUAUCCGAACUUGACUCUGAAAAUUCAAAUGCUACCAUAUUCAGUGUCGAGGAAUCCGGGAUCGUUGCUGCGAAGCGCUACCGCAUCCUGAUGUCCACCGUGUCCUGCGCCUCGGGUUUGCGCAUCCGCUCUGCUUACUCUGUCUCCUACGCCAAGACAACCUCGCCAUCUUCGACCACGGCACCGCCUGGGCCGACAUCACCGGUGCAACUUGGGGCUGAGACCGAGCGGCUCAUCAUGGACGCCCUGAUGUUCUGCACCAUUAGCACCAUGUGUACAUGGAUACACCUGCAUGUAUCUGUUAGAUGAACUACUUGACAGACAAGAACAGGGAUUACCAUCUUCCUUGUGAAAGAGUACACGUUGAUUUGCCAUGUAGAUGAAUGUAUAGACCUAUGAAACACCAAGACACAGUUUAGAUUCGUCGC